rnacentral:lncRNA from 1 species
GAAAUAGUGAAUAAGCCAGUGGUUCUUAACCACAGGUAUGCUAUAGAGUCAUCAGAGGGAUAUGUGUUCUUGUGUUGGUGCCACCUCCGGACAUUCUAAUUUAUCAGACCUGGGGUAAGAUCUGGAAGUCUAUGGUUCAUUUGUUUGUUUGCUUGUUUUAAUCGUUAACUUUCUGGCUGAAAGUCUGUGUUUAAAAAAAAAAAAAGUUCCAUAGGAUAUUUUGAUGGAUUCCCUUGCUCAAGAACGACUAGGUUUCUUAUUUUUUGUUUUUUAAGAUUUUAUUUAUUUAUUCAUGAGAGACACAGAGAGGCAGAGGGAGAAGCAGGCUCCCCAUGUGGAGCCUGAUGCAGAACUUGAACCCACGACCCUGGGAUCAGGCCGUGAACCAAAGGCAGAUGCUCAAUCACUGAGCCAUCUGGGUGCCCCCCAUCCUCCACUUUGUUGGGAGUUUUUUUUUUUAUCAUGAAUAUAUGUUGAAUUUUGUCAAAUGCUUUUUUCUGCAACUAUUGCAAUUAUCAUGAUUUUAAUCUUUCAUUUUGUUGAUGUAGUAAAUCACACUGAUUUGCAAAUACCAAGCCAUCCUUAUAUCCUUAAAGAAAUCUCACUUGACCCUAUUGGAUGAUCUUUUUAAUCUAUUGCUUAAUCCAAUUUGCUAAUAUUUUGUUGAGCAUUUUUUAUCUUAGUCAUUAUUUCUUCAAAUAUUUAUUUUUUCCCCUACCCUCAUUCCUCUCCCUUCAGGAUUCCUAGCAUUAGAUAUUUUAAGGCAAAGUUGUUUGAGAAUCAGAAUUAAUAGUAAUUUUAAUAAGGUUUUCUUUUACCUCCCAUUUUGUUAUUCAUUUUUGUGCAAAGAUAUGGUGAUUUUUGUUUAUUUCAAUUUUUACUUUAAAGUAAAUUUCAGCACUGACUUGAAUGAGGAAUUGUUUAUGUGGAGGAAUUUUUAGGCUGUGGUUGAGGGAUCUGGAAUGGAAAAGUAGUAUGCAACUAGAGGAUAGAGAUGAGAUGAAAAUUAAGUUAUAUAGGAAAUUAGAGUUUUGAACUAGACUGGAUUGAACUUUUAAUGGCUAUAAGUGAUUGAAAAGUUGUGGGUUCUGCCCAAUAUUUUACUAAAAGACAGAGGGGGGAGUGACUGCAAAAAUCAAAUCAUUUUAUAUUCAUUCUCUGCUGAUCAAUACCAGUUAUAUUAAAAUCAGAAGAAAAGAAACUAGAGACAAAAAGUAGUAAUAGGGAUGGGGGGUAUUACAUAAUCAUAAAAUGAAACAUCCACAAACUAAAAUUAAUUAUGAGCAUAAAUGCAUCUAAAAAAGUAUUGACACAUAUAUGUGAGAAUUGAUUAAAAUACAGAAACCAUAACAUUAAUAGAAAUUAUCAUAUACUUCUUUCUGACUGAUCACCUUUACAUAACAACAUGACUUACAAGCUGGAUAUAAAUUCCUUACCCACAGGAAUAGAGAUUACACAUUUUUUUUCAAAAUUAUGUUCAUUAUUUAUAAAAUUUUACCAUAUAUUAAUCCACAAAGGUAGUGUAUUGAAAUUUCACACAUUCUUUGACUAGUGUGCAAUAAAAUUAGAAAUUAAUGAAAAUAUACCCCAAAAAUGGUGUGAUAAAAAAAAACACAAGGGAAAUUUAAAAGGACAACACUUCUAAAUAAUUCAUACAUUAAGAAUAAAAAAAAUCAUAGUGAAUUAAAAAAUAUUUGGAAGUUAAAUGACAAUGAGAGCAUUACUUACCAGAACUUGUAGGAUGUACUUAAAAUAGUAUUUGGAGGGUGAAUGUAUACUCCUAAAAGCACAUGUUAGAAAACAAAACAAAACACUGAAAAGAAUGACAGAAUUAAAACAAAGCAGUGGAAAGGAAAAAAUGGUAAGGAUAAAAGAAAAACAGUAAUGCAACAGUCAGCAAAUAAACAGUAGAGGUGAUCCAGAAAAAUAAAAGCUGAUAUUUUGAACAAACAGAAGAGACAAUCUUCAAAAGACAUAAUAUUAAGAAUGAGUAAGGCUAAAAAGUAUUAUGAUAAGCAAAGUAAGUCGGUCAGAGAGACAAAUACCAUAUGAUUUCACUCAUGUGGAAUUUAAGAAACAAAACAGAUGAACAUAGAGGAAGGGAAAAAAAUAGAGGGAUAGAGGCAAACCAUAAAAGACUGAACUAUAGAGAACAAACUGAGGGUUGAUGGGAGGGAAGAAGGUAGUGGGGGGAUGGGGCAAAUGGGUGGUGGGUAUUGAAGAGGGCACUUGUUCUGAUGAGCACUGGGUAUUAUAUGUAUAAGUGAUAAAUCUUUAAAUUCUACUCCUGAAACUAGAAUAUGUUAACUAACCUGAAUUUACAUUAAAAAUUUGAAGAAAAAAUGUCAAUAAAAAAUGACAAGGUUAUGAAAGUCUUAAUAGACCUUCAGGGAAAAAAUGGAAAAUGUUCCAGAUUUAAAGAUACUAGGAAAACAUGACAAAUGGAGUAACAGUUGUGAUACUGGGUUCACUCCUUUGUUAUAAAGGAUCUACUGAAACAACUGAGAAAACUUGAGUGCGGUCUCUGGGAGAAGAAUAUAGGGAACUCCUUUUACUAUUCUGAUAACCUGCCCAGUGGAAUUGUUUACUAAAAAAAAAAAAAAAAUUCAUAGAUGAUUGUCAUGGUUAAAAUAAAAAAAAGAGUGAACACAAGGGAAGUAGAAAAUAUUAAUGAUUUUAAAAAUAUAUAAUUCUACAAACACUAUAUGUUCAUAUAUAAUUUGUAAAAUGUGGAUAAAACCAAUGUGCAGAAAAUAUAACUGAAUAAAGUUGAUUCAUGUAGAAUGACAAAACCUUAAUGUUGGAGACAUUAAAGACAAAUUCAUCAAUUUAAUUGAAAAAAAAUCCCUCCUGAAAUAAAACGUUAUAUUCAGAGGCUUUAUAAACACAUUUCACCAAACCUUUAGGAAAUUACAAUUUUUUUUCAGUACAUGAACAAGUCUUGGCAGAAAAAACAGCCAAGGAAAUCUCAAGAAAAUAAAAUUAUACUCAUUCUGACUUACAAAAUAAACAUGGAUAUUUCAAAAGUUCUAAAGGAAAUAUCAGCAAAAUAAAUCAAUCUUUGUAUAUACAUAAUACAUUGAUUUUGAGUGGUAUUUGACAGAAUUCAUACCAAUCACAUCAGAAAACAUACAAAUUUAGAUCAAAAUGAUAACAGAUUAAAAGAAGAAACCACAAAAUUAUCUCAAUUUAUGUAAGAAAAAGGAUUAAAAAUUCAACUUUAUGAAGAUAACUAGGAUUGGAAGGGAAAUUUCUUUUUCUUUUUUUUUUUUUUUUUGGAAGGGAAAUUUCUAACCUGAUAAUAGUAUCCACUCCAAACUACAACAAAUAUUUUACUUAAAAAAGAAACCCUUGAAACAUUUCCAUUAAAGUAAGUGUGCUACAUCUGUUUGCACCCCUGGAUCCCCUGUGCACCCUUCUCUACUUAGCUCUGUGCCCCAGGAUCCUGGAAUUUACAUCCAAGGGCUCCCUCACUCUCUGGUUUCAUUGCCAUCAACUGGUGGGGAAACUCUUGGUCUGCGAUUGGAAAGAGAAUCAAGUCAGAGUAUUUAUUUCCCUGUUUUCUUCCAUAUGAUGUCAUCCUAGGCUGGCUCUGUCCCUUAACAUAGAUCAUUACUCCUCUCAAGGUGAAGUGCUUUAUAUGACUAAGUUUUUUUUUUUUUUACAUAUAUCAUUUUAUCUUUCAUGCACACACAUAUAUACAAUACCUCAAUACUUUCUGAUUUAUACUAGUUGGUCCUCAUUUGCAGCUAAUUAUGUAAGAAUUAUGAAACCAGUUAUGUUCUCAUACAUCCAUGAUCACAAUCUGAUAUAGGCUAUCUUUAUUUGUAUAUAUGAGUUAUCUACAAGUAGCCAAAUAUCCAAUAUGUUAUAUUUAUAUCAUAUAAAUGUUAUUCAUAUCAGUGUAGGAAUUAGCUAUCUCCUGUUUUAUCCAUUCUGUAGUAAAAUAACUUGUAAGUUCAAAAAUGUUGAUGUACUUACACAACAGUAUUUCUUUGCUUAGUUUUAUUUCUUCUUAGCUUCAGGUUCUUACCCAUCUUCUCUAUUUCUUAAUUCUUAAUACUUCUUUUUUAAAUUUGUGGUUUGUGCACCAUCUCAUCUCAAGUUUGUGCUUUUGGUCUCUUUGUCCAUUUUCUGUUUUUUUCUAUUUGUAAUUUUAGUUUUAAUGUAGUCUCCCUGGCAAAAUCCUGGGCUUCAUGCUCCUCCUGGGAAAUGACUCAAUAUUUUGCUCUAACAAGGCUUUGAUAUAUAUCACUCAACAGCCGAUUUGUUCGGGAGUGCAUGCCUGCAAUUUCAAGUUCAUCAUUCUUGUGAUUAAAAAAUAAUUCUGCACUUCCUCCUGUACCUCUACUCUCACUGAAUGUUGAUUUUGUAGGCUGUAAG